rnacentral:rRNA from 1 species
AGUGAACGCUGGCGGUAGGCCUAACACAUGCAAGUCGAACGGCAGCACAGGAGAGCUUGCUCUCUGGGUGGCGAGUGGCGGACGGGUGAGGAAUACAUCGGAAUCUACUCUGUCGUGGGGGAUAACGUAGGGAAACUUACGCUAAUACCGCAUACGACCUACGGGUGAAAGCAGGGGAUCUUCGGACCUUGCGCGAUUGAAUGAGCCGAUGUCGGAUUAGCUAGUUGGCGGGGUAAAGGCCCACCAAGGCGACGAUCCGUAGCGGGCCUGAGAGGAUGAUCAGCCACACUGGAACUGAGACACGGUCCAGACUCCUACGGGAGGCAGCAGUGGGGAAUAUUGGACAAUGGGCGCAAGCCUGAUCCAGCCAUACCGCGUGGGUGAAGAAGGCCUUCGGGUUGUAAAGCCCUUUUGUUGGGAAAGAAAUCCAGCUGGCUAAUACCCGGUUGGGAUGACGGUACCCAAAGAAUAAGCACCGGCUAACUUCGUGCCAGCAGCCGCCGCCG